GACGAACGCUGGCGGCGUGCUUAACACAUGCAAGUCGAGCGGUAAGGCCCUUUCGGGGGUACACGAGCGGCGAACGGGUGAGUAACACGUGGGUGACCUGCCCUCAGCUCUGGGAUAAGCCUGGGAAACCGGGUCUAAUACUGGAUAUGACUCCAUGACGCAUGUUGUGGGGUGGAAAGCCUUGUGCGGCUGAGGAUGGGCCCGCGGCCUAUCAGCUUGUUGGCGGGGUGAUGGCCUACCAAGGCGACGACGGGUAGCCGGCCUGAGAGGGCGACCGGCCACACUGGGACUGAGACACGGCCCAGACUCCUACGGGAGGCAGCAGUGGGGAAUCUUGCGCAAUGGGCGAAAGCCUGACGCAGCGACGCCGCGUGAGGGAUGACGGCCUCGG
rnacentral:rRNA from 1 species